UACGUAGGGAGCAAGCGUUGUCCGGAAUCAUUGGGCGUAAAGCGCGCGUAGGUGGCCACAUAAGUCCGUUGUGAAAGUCAAAGGCUCAACCUUUGAAAGCCGAUGGAUACUGUGUGGCUAGAGUACGGAAGAGGCGAGUGGAAUUCCUGGUGUAGCGGUGGAAUGCGCAGAUAUUAGGAGGAACACCAAUAGCGAAGGCAGCUCGCUGGGACGUUACUGACACUGAGGCGCGAAAGCGUGGGGAGCGAACAGG
rnacentral:rRNA from 1 species